rnacentral:rRNA from 1 species
GGAUGAACGCUAGCGGCAGGCCUAAUACAUGCAAGUCGAGGGGUAAGAGUCAGCUUGCUGACUACACGACCGGCGCACGGGUGCGUAACGCGUAUGCAACCUACCUUUAACAGAGGAAUAGCCCCGAGAAAUCGGGAUUAAUACCACAUAACAUUAUGAUAUGGCAUCAUAUUAUAAUUAAAACUCCGGUGGUUAAAGAUGGGCAUGCGUGACAUUAGCUAGUUGGUGAGGUAACUGCUCACCAAGGCUACGAUGUCUAGGGGUUCUGAGAGGAUGAUCCCCCACACUGGUACUGAGACACGGACCAGACUCCUACGGGAGGCAGCAGUAAGGAAUAUUGCGCAAUGGAGGCAACUCUGACGCAGCCAUGCCGCGUGCAGGAUUGAAGGCCUUAUGGGUCGUAAACUGCUUUUAUUUAGGAAUAAACUUUCGUACGUGUACGAAACUGAAGGUACUAAACGAAUAAGCACCGGCUAACUCCGUGCCAGCAGCCGCGGUAAUACGGAGGGUGCAAGCGUUAUCCGGAUUUAUUGGGUUUAAAGGGUGCGCAGGCGGACCAAUUAGUCAGUGGUGAAAUCCCGAGGCUCAACCUCGGAACUGCCAUUGAUACUGUUGGUCUUGAAUACGUUGAAGUAGCGGAAUGUAGCAUGUAGCGGUGAAAUGCAUAGAGAUGCUACAGAACACCGAUCGCGAAGGCAGCUUACUAAACCGAUAUUGACGCUCAGGCACGAAAGCGUGGGGAGCGAACAGGAUUAGAUACCCUGGUAGUCCACGCCGUAAACUAUGAUCACUCGUUGUUGGCAAUACACAGUCAGUGACCAAGCGAAAGCGAUAAGUGAUCCACCUGGGGAGUACGAUCGCAAGGUUGAAACUCAAAGGAAUUGACGGGGGCCCGCACAAGCGGUGGAGCAUGUGGUUUAAUUCGAUGAUACGCGAGGAACCUUACCUGGGCUCAAAUGUAAGUUGACAGUUUCUGAAAGGGAAUUUUCUUCGGACAAUUUACAAGGUGCUGCAUGGUUGUCGUCAGCUCGUGCCGUGAGGUGUCGGGUUAAGUCCCAUAACGAGCGCAACCCCUACUCUUAGUUGCCAUCAGAUAAUGCUGGGGACUCUAGGAGAACUGCCUACGCAAGUAGAGAGGAAGGUGGGGAUGACGUCAAAUCAGCACGGCCCUUACGUCCAGGGCUACACACGUGCUACAAUGGCCGGUACAGAGGGCAGCCACCUGGUGACAGGGAGCGAAUCUCUAAAGCCGGUCUCAGUUCGGAUCGAAGUCUGCAACCCGACUUCGUGAAGCUGGAAUCGCUAGUAAUCGCGCAUCAGCCAUGGCGCGGUGAAUACGUUCCCGGGCCUUGUACACACCGC